AUUGAACGCUGGCGGCAUGCUUUACACAUGCAAGUCGAACGGUAACAGGCCUUCGGGUGCUGACGAGUGGCGAACGGGUGAGUAAUGCAUCGGAACGUACCCAGAGGUGGGGGAUAACGCAGCGAAAGCUGUGCUAAUACCGCAUGUGAUCUGAGGAUGAAAGCGGGGGACCGAGCAGCAAUGUUUGGCCUCGCGCCUUUGGAGCGGCCGAUGUCGGAUUAGCUAGUUGGUGGGGUAAAGGCCUACCAAGGCGACGAUCCGUAGCUGGUCUGAGAGGACGACCAGCCACACUGGGACUGAGACACGGCCCAGACUCCUACGGGAGGCAGCAGGGGGUAAUUUUGGACAAUGGGCGGAAGCCUGAUCCAGCAAUGCCGCGUGCGGGAAGAAGGCCUGCGGGUUGUAAACCGCUUUUGGCAGGAACGAAACGGUGUCCGCUAAUACCGGGCGCUAAUGACGGUACCUGCAGAAUAGCACCGGCUAACUACGUG
rnacentral:rRNA from 1 species